GGCCGUCCCGGAGGUGCCAGCGAGACCUUCACCAGCCCGUGUGACCGUGUCCGCCUCCGGGCCCAGACCAGCGGUGCAGCAGGUGGAGGCGACACCCCAGGAGUCGGCCAGCGAGGUGCCGGGAGUGGUCGCCGGUCAGGAGGAGGUCGCCGCAGCAGGCCCUGCUGUCCCAGAGGAGCGACAGAAGAUCUUCAAAGCUAAGGCUGUUUUUGUUCCUUCUGUUUGUGUUAGAGAUGUUAAGUCAGAGUCUAGCGCUAAUGCUGUGGCAACAGGGUCUAACAUAGAUAGCAGUAGGAUUA